GUGAAGUGAAAUUCUGCAUCCCAGAUGGAGUCUGUUACCAACCCCCCUGGUCCUGGUGCCUUCCAUGUGCUCUUUGUCCAUUGCUCUGGUCUCCAGUGCCUGCCAUGUGAAGCCUCUGUGCCACGGUUUGCUGCGUUGUGGCCAGCAACAGUGAGUGACCAAGGCCAUCAGGUCCUGCUUCCUGCUCCUGCACCCCUACCUGCCACUGAGCUGCUUCUGGAACCUAAGUGGAAUCAAUAUACAACAGCGCACAGCUUUAUUAAACACAUCUAUUCUCUCUGGAUGACUGCAGAAGACUUCAUUCUCCCUCCCUGUUUGUAAGACCUGGUGUGGAUUUUUUUCUUCUUUCCUCACCCCACAGUGUGGCGCUCACUGUGGUUCUCCUGAAGUUCCAGACUGAGAUGUAAGGUGUUUGUUUGGUAACAUGGUAUAAUCCUGACUUGAACUGGCCACAGCAGCAGCUCAGCUGCUUGCCCCACACCAGCACCUUUGUCCUCAGCAGCAGGCUUUGUCCCCAGGACCAGUUGGAAAACCAAGACCUGGUGCCUGAAUGCCGUGGUGGAUGCAAACCUGGAGGCAUUAGGUUGCAAGAGGAGUAGCUGAGUGAGAGAGCUGUUCCCUGAGCCAGCCGCAAAGGGCUCAUUAGCCAGCAGCUAUUUAGGCAGUGGCACUGCAGCAACUCUCUGCUGGAAAAAGCUGAUUUGUGGCGGUUUCCUCUCCACGCCGAGUGUGCACUGAUCAGGAAUAUAAAUACCGUUAAUCCCCAGCGUUAAUACCAGCAGCUUUGAUCAUCUUUCCCCAUUAUCACUCCCUUGCUGUUAAUAAAAGUGAUAACCAUGGGGGAGAAGGGAAUGGGGACUGGACUAAUCAGUUUGCAGUUGGCGAUGCUGUUGGGAAAACGAGACACCCAAGGCAACCUGGCCUCAGUGACAGUGCCUCUGGACAUCAAGAGGGAGCUCAGGAACAAAUUUCUGCAAGGGACUUUCUACAAAUUCCCAAGUCCUAUUCCAAGCUGAUGAUGGCUUUGCUUCUCCAGGAUGCAAAGACGCUGGCCUGUUUGCUCUGGAAAAACUUUCAGCCAAGGUAAAGCAUGAAAAAAUCCUUGGAAAAGCCUGACCUUCUCAUGGGCUGUUCCCUUGGUAACCAUCACUUUGCUGUGAUGGUAUUCAAAGACAACUUCUAAACUUGUGAGAGAAUAUAACAAGGAGCUGUUCAGGCAGGGGCAGAAGGAGCUGGGAACUGAGCAAGCUUUCAGGCAGAGAGGUGCCAGGCAAGAGGCAGGUUGCUAUUCCCUUCCCUGGGGACCAGGAGCUUGUUGUGGGGAGACAGGAGAAUGGUAAAGUCCUCUCUCCCUUCCUUCCCAGUUCCCUUCCUUCAGAGACUGGUUAGAGGAUGACGGCUGGGCUGAGUUGACUCCCCAACACCUCUUGUUAAGCUCUCAGGGGAAGGUCGCUUUUUCCCCUUUGAGUUCUUUAGUGAAACAGUGUUCUCUGCCCUCCUUUGGCUUCACAGAAUUGUAGAAACACAGGAUCAUAGGGGCUGGAAGGGACCUCUGGAAAUCAUCAAGUCCUGCUCCCCUUCUCAUAGGGAAUUGUUUCAACGUGGUGGUUUCCUGCUCUGCUCUCCUUGCAGGGCAGCAGACAGGGACUGUGACUCAGGUGUGGGUUGGUGUGGGCUCUCAGAUAUGGGGCUGUAGAGUAAUAGUAUUUUUCUACUUUCUACUCUGGAGGCUUUGGCAGUCAAAAUUGACUUUGGAGACUGACUUUGCUUCUUGAACUGUUCUGGACCUGUUUCUUCCCAGCCAUGGAUUGGAUGCACCGUUCGUGUGAUAAACCACAGCAAUCCAACAGCAAUCCCACACUUACACAUCUCCCCUAGAAGGACGGUAAUUCUCAUGGAGAGGAUGCCUGCGUUCCUGUGUCCGUGAGGAGGCCUGCCUCCAUUCGUCAGUGGAGCUCACCACUUGGGAGUCUGCUUGGAUGAUUAUCUCCAUCUGACAGUGAGUAGAAAGAAGAAUGAACCCUACGGCACCUCCUGUACAGGGAGCAGCUCCUGCGUAGGACGUCUGUGGCUUUGUGAUUCUUGAGAGGCAUCUGUGCAGAUCCGGUCCUUGGUCCUCAGUAACAACACAGGAUCCCAUACAGCAAGGAUGAGGCAAGAGAUGACAGCUCACCACACAAGACCAAUCUGGGUGACAAAGCAGAGUCCUCUCUUUGCUUAUCCCCCGCCUUCCUGUGCAGCAGGACUGCCAGAAAUCACAGCGGUGCAAUACUCGGCAGGAUGACAAGGAACCUGCAGUCCAGAAGAGAAGCAGCCCUGACAAUUCCUCUGUUCCUGCUGCUCAGUGAAACGGUUGCGUGUGGGAUGCGAUCAGCGCUCUGCAGCUGCUCCUACAUUAGUGUGCAUCGGAGGCACUCGAUGGAAGCAGCCUGGCGAUCUGUCUAGACUUAUUUGCUGCCAGAGACCAACACUUCAUUCCACCUCCUGCCGUACAGUUCCAGUCCUGCUGGAUUACUCUCCAACCCAUGCUCAUCUCAUCUGCUGACUCCUCCUGCCUCAGAGCCCAUCAGACCUCCAGCUUCAGACCUGUGUGCAUUCUUACAACAGGCGGACGCUGCUGAGUUGGCCUCCAGGCCCCUGGACACAUCCUGACCCCAGGACACUGCACUAACAGAACCUGUCUGCCAAAAGAAGAAACUUAGCUGUCUCCCAUUUCUGUCUGUGGUCUGUCUCCUUGAAGACCAUGAGGUACUUCAUACAUUCCUCAGCUUUUGCCUGCUAUUUGUGAAUUAAUGGGGUGAAGCGAUUUCCCUGAACUUAUCAGAAAAUCUAUGUAAGACAGAGAAGAGGAAUGGGAUCUGGUCCAUCAGGUUUACAGGUAUGGGGUCUUGGCUCACUGGGACACUUCUCAUGGUCGGGCACUGGGACAGGCUGCCCAGGGGGGUGUGGGAGUUUCCAUCCCUGGAGUUGUUCAAGAAAUAUGGAGAUGUGGUAUGUAAAGGCAUGGUUUAGUAGGAAAUAUUGGUAGUCACUGUAUGGUUGGACUGGAUAAUCUUAGAGGUCUUUUCCAUGAUUCUAUGAUUCUAUGAAUUCAGGUGCUGACCGGAACAAACAAGUGGUCCAGACCCUGAAUGCUUUAAUAUCCAUCUCUUAAGAAAGAGGUCUUCUCCCCACUAUCCCAUGAAGGCAAUGAUCAUUGCUCAGAAAUUCAGCCUUUCGUCCUGAUCAGAGCCCUCUCCAGCAUCACCUUCACAGCGAAAAAGACACAAACCCAACGGCUCAACACUUGCAAGGCAGAGCAGUGCUGCAGCCCCGUGUGCCCUUCGACUCACUCCCUUUCCCUCGGCCAGGCCUCAAGCAGAGCAGUGAUUGAAGAGAGGUGGAGCCCCAUGACUGAUUCCCCCGAGAACAUAACUCUGGUUUCUCUGACACCCUGAACAAGAGCGAGAUGUCAGGAUCCUUCCUUAGGGCUGCUGCAUGAGAGGGAUGGACCGGUGACACUGAUGCUACAUCACCUCUUCUGAGCACAGGAGCUGAGUUCCACGUUUGGCAGCUCCAGGAUGAACCGGUGGCGUUUCCUUGACUCCAGUGGCGAUCGAUUCCAUUUGGAGCCUGUAGCAACUGACGUCCAGGGGAGCCCAAGUCCCACCCAUCACAUGGCAACAGGAAGCUUUGCGUGAUGCCUGGUGGCACAUCCCUCCAAAAGGAAGUGGGAAGAUUAAAGAAAGACGUUGAGGCCCUGGAAUGUGCCCAGAGAGGGGCAACGAAGCUGUGAACGGGCUGCAGCACAAGUCUUAUGGAGAGAGGCAGAGGGAACUGGUGUUCUUCAGUCUGGAGAAGAGGCUCAGGGGAGACCUCAUUGCUCUCUACAAUGCCCUGAAAGGAGGCUGUGGUGAGAGUGUUCAAUUCUUUCCCCGUCUCCCCCACCAGCCCCAGCCCAGGAGCGAGCAGCUCCCGAAAAUGCUGAGGAAAUGGAGCUGAAAGCCUGGGGCAAUGGGGCAGAGAAGGUGAAUCUAAAGAGAUGCAGAAAUGAACCAGACAGGGCCGGGAAAUGUACGGAGAACCCACCCUAGCCUGUAUGUGAGGGAGUGCAUACCACAGCGUAUGAGAUCAACAGCCCCUUUCCGCAGUCUCAGUAGUGCUGAGUCCCAGAAGAGGGUUACAGAUUUACAAGGAAUUCAGAUUUUUACAUUCAGGAUGAAAUCAGCAAAUUUUAGAGCUUGCCGAGAUUGAAGCGACGGUGUUUAGCGAUGCAGCCCCGAGCACGCGGAGCCCAGCACCGCUUUGCUCCCAGUAAUGAGUCCCCCCGGGGGUCACAGCCCCCACUGCAUGGGGCUGCCCAAAGCCCUUUGCCCUGCGAUUCUUCCAGCAAAGACACUGUACAAUCACAGGCAGCUGCACUGAGGAAAAUGUAAAUGCAAUAGAAAACACAGACGUGGAGGAGCAUCUGUUCUCCCCUCCAGGUCGAGCAGUGGUCUUGAAAGAUGAACCGGCAUGGGGAGAGCUCAGAAGGAGCGAGAUGUUUAUAUCCAAAGCCAGAACUGUAUUUCCUAUGGUCCCAUCCGAAAAGCUCCAGCUGCAGACAAAUCUAGGGAGGCAUCAGCUCCUUCUGCAGCAGUGACUGUUGAUACCACCUCACUGAGCUGCCAAUGUCCACCAUGCAAUGUGCCUGCUACAUGAUGCCAGAGAGAAGCACAAUUCAUGGAAGGCUUGCAGGAAGGAGAGAGAAUGUAUAGCAUAGAAGCCUGGAAAGCAGGCCAAGAGGAGGUUAUUCCCAUGAUACAUCUCUGUUCCCCCCUCCCCAUCAUGUCAGCAGCCUCUUCAGCUUCACACAGAGGUUGUGAGGAUUCAUUAGUUAAUGUUUGUAAAGCACUAUAUAGAUGGAGAGAGCUAUGUAAGUGCUAAGUAUUAUUAUUAUUACAGAGAGUCGCUGUUAAGGCAAUGGAUAUGCUCUUAAGUGUCAUUUCAUAUUUAAUUAACGUGCAAUAAUUGUCUUCCAAAACCUGGAGGUACAUCUUUAUUCUUGACACUUCCUUUAAAGAGACACUGCAGCAGAGCUGCUGCUAAUGGGCCUCCUCUCUGGCAUAGGAGGAACAGGAUGAGCUGGGAACUGGAAGAAGAGGAAAGGGAGGUCAAUGAGGGACUUUCUUCUUCACAAUUCCACAAACAUGCCAUGGAUCCAUGGUGAGUUUGGGUUUUGAUCACCGAGCUGCCCCAAGGGAUACUGACCUGGUGAGGGGUCUGCAGCCUUCCCCUUAGACUUUCCCCAUGCCCUGCAUCGACUGAGCAGUGCCUGUGGCUUCUGAGUAACUGAACCCAGCUGUAGCUGUGCACCUUGCCUCUGUGAGUAGAAUAAAAGAACUAAAAAGGGAGGAUGGAGAAGCAUGAAAUCACAGUACUGGGAAUUUCCCUUCUAUUUUUCAGGAACAUGUUUGCCAAGAAGUGGUAUUCUCAGAGCUAGGUUACGUAUCUUUUACUGACAGAGGGAAGCAAGGAGAAAUCAGCUGUGGGGCCAUCUGCUCCUCAAGCAAAUGGGAAGGGGAAGCCACCUCUCCCACCUCCCCACGAUGUUUGCAUUUCCGAGUGAGACCAGAGAAGUAAAAAAAGAAGCAGUCCAUCAUUAACUCAGAAAUAACCCGCCUACAGGAGCUGCAGAAGGAUGCUGGGCCCUUCAUGCCUGUCUUUUUUUUUUACCUGAAUGUGUAAUUUCUCACUGGUUCGUUGACAAAUCAGUGCCCUCUAUGGGCCCUUGGCUGGCAUCUCUCUGAGGAGCCCACAGGGUGGGGUUGGGAGGAGCAGGAUGCUCCAAGAGAGCUGCGAUGGUGCCAGUCCCCUUGUCCUCACCAUCUUAAAGAGGCAGCCCCCCUACCAACAUCACUCCCACACACUUGUGUGCCCUUCCUGCCCCUCUCUGAUCACUGAGAUGCUCCUCAUCAGUGCUAAGUGCUCUGAAGGUCACAGGCUACACAGCUCCCAACAUCACUGAGGAUCAGGCUUUGGCCUUGCUGCCACCCCCCUGCUCCCCCCGGGACCCCUGAAGUGACAGAACCUGGCAGCUCGUUCCUCGCUUCCCCCUCCCACCUCCCCCUUCCUUCUCUCACUCUCAUUUAUUUCAAUUUGCUAUGCUUUCUUUCCUGGCUCUCAGCAUUAACUGGGAAGGGGGAGAGGAGGGUGGAGGGAUGGUUUCAUGGUGGAGAGGUGGGGAAAACCUUGUAUGAUGGUGAGUGAGGGUCUGCAGGUCACAUUGGAGGUUAUGGGGAAAUCAGUCAACUUUUUAGGCUGAUUUUGGGUGUAGCCUCCCAUGAUUCAGAACAUAAUAGAGGUCAGUGAAUUGGCAAAGUGCUGUCAGGACCUCAGGAUGCCCUCAUAGCAACUUGGGCUGCUCUAUUUCAGUGCCAAUUCAUGGGAGCCAGGGCAGUGUGUGCUCACGUAGAGGUGGCAGUGGGGCAUGGGCUGCAUUGCUGAGUGAAUGGCAUAUCUGUGACAUUCAUCCUCAGUGCAGACAGCGUGAUUUGUGGCUAAAGGGGAUGUGCAUCUGCUACAGCACUGCUCAGCCUCUCUGCUCCUUUUGCCCUUAUCCUUGGGGCCCCAAAAGGCUCCAUUUGCCAGGAAUGCCCUCCACUCACUGCAGCCAUCUGAGCAAACACGAGAUCUGCACUCAUCACCUCCUGCUUCCCUCCCUUUGACUGUGCUGUCACACAUUGCCACACAGCAGUUAUUGUUCCAGGCACUACGGCACUGCACAUAAUCCAGGUGACUUCCAGAGCGAUUCAGCUCUCCAGUCUUUCACAAACCCAAAUCAAUGUACAAGCCCUGCCCAUUAAGACUCAGAUUCCCACACAUGGCUCAUGGCGUCUGUAGCACUCCCUUCCCUGAACCAGACUGAUGAGCCACAUUACUGCCAUGUUAACCAAAAGCCCGUUUCAGUGACUUCUUGUCCUGUACGUGUUCUCUGCAGAUCCUCAUGGAGAUGGUCUGUGGGGUCUGUUCUCUUUUAUUCCCUACAAAUCCCUCUACAAUGGCUGUAAGAAAUUCCCCGGUUAGCCAACUCCUUGUGGGUUUUGUUUGUUCUUUGUACUUAUUCAAGCUGAAGUCUAGAGAGGAAAAGCAGGGCAGAUGUGUUUGAAGGGCAGAGCUAAAAAGAGGACACUUCACGUUAGCAUAUAAAAUCAAAAUGUGAAGCCAUUAGAAAACAUGGCAAACAGGUGACAAAAAAUGUAUAUACUUACUGCCAACACGAGCUCCUGUCUGACAAGCUGAAUUAUAGCAUGCAUUUUUAAUCCAUCUUUGGAGCAGAGAUUCUACCAACCUCUCUCUCUAGAAAUACAUCACACAGGCUUUGGAUAUUGCUGCUGGUUGAUAUUAUCAAUACCCUCUUUUCCCCAAGAGCUUUCUUCAACAGCCAUCACCCCGCACUGCAGGUUGUCCGACAGAAAAUUGGAAUGGUAAUGAAGACUAAGAGAAGAGAGAAAGCAAAAAAGAAUACUUCGUACUCACAUCAUAACAAAUCUUAAGAGAAGGGGAUGGGAGAUAAUGUCACUGCCAGUUCAAAAAGGUGGAUACAAAAAUAUAAUGAAGGUGCCUGUGUUUCAACACGUUGUCCAGAAAGUGCACUAGCAUCUGAAAGUACAAAAAUACUCAGAACAAUCUAGCAUGUUCAGGACGUAAGUGUGUUUCUACCUGUUAAAGGGAAAGGCAAGAGAGAGAAUCCAGUUGCUAUGGAAAUCAGGCCAUCUCCAUGGGAAUUCAGAAAGUAGAGUAUCCUCUUGGCCAGUAAAUCAGGCAGCGAGCAGCCAUUUCUGGACCAUGGCACUGAGCAAUUCUAAGCUGCUCACAGGACAGUUUGUUUCCUCAGCACUGCCGCCCUACCUCAGUAUCAAUGAAAUUGGUGAAAAAAGGGGGUUAUUGGUGAAAUUAAGAAUUUGUUUUGUGGAAUGUAAAGAAGGUUCAGGGGAGAACUGAUAGCAGCCUUUCAGUAUCUAAAGGGGUGGGGAGGGGUGUAAGAAAGAUGGGGACAGAUUCUUUAGCAGGGUCUGUUGUGAUAGGACAAGGGGAUAUGGUUUAAUUACCCCUAAACUGAAAGAGGGGAGAUUUAGAUUGGAUGUAAGGAAAAAAGCUUUGUACGUUAAGGCCAGGGAGGCUCUGACACAGGCUGCCCAGAGAGGUGGUGGUGCCCCAUCCCUGGAGACGGCCAAGGUCAGACUGGGUGGGCUCUGAGCUGUGGGUGUCCCUGUUCAGUGCAGGGGCAGUUGGACCAGAUGGCUUUUAAAGGAUCCUUCCAACUCAAACAAUUCCACAAUUCUCCGAUUCUCCUGCAUGUUUCUGUGGAGGAGUGUCGCGUGUCUUUGCUUUAGCUACAGUUAUUGGGAUAUAGAUUUAUGUCACUGGAAAAAAAGUGGAACUCCUGGUUUUGCUUCUCAGCAAAUGUUUUUUGUUCACAUUAGUUGCUGUACAAUAACAAAGGAUCAGGUAGGUGUGCAUGCAGGAAGUAAAAGGAAACAAAGGCCACAUUAAAGAAUAUAAAAAGAAGGAGCUGAGGUACAAACCCACACCUUGUUCAGGACUCCUCUCUUUGUGUUAAUGGACAAAUAUUCAUGGUGCCAUUGGGGGAUCCAAUUCCCUUGCCAUAGGCAGCAGCCUCCAGCUCUGCUGCUCCUGGGUACCAGUGAUUGCUUAGAGUUUAGGGUCCCACAAAGGCCUCCAAGCACAUCUCUUCCAGUCAGUGCCCCACAGCUAGGUUUACUCUGCUGUCACCUGAUGGAUGAGACUGAGAAGCUUGGAGACUUUUGAGAUUCUGAUGCUUUGCUACAGAGCUUUCUUCUGUUUCAUCAUUGCAUUUAAUCACUGGUGGGCAACUGGUCCCUAGAGCCCGGGAGGUUGGGUACUGCUGGAGUUGAAAGCUUUGGCAUGAGCGCCAGUGUGCAGACGAUGGAAAGCAGGUGAUGGAUUUACAGUGCUGAAAUCCUUGCUAUGACUGCUAUGCAAACACCAUAUAUUAUAGCUGUAAGUCCUGCAUAAGCCAAGAAGAUUAAAAAACACCUUGUAGAAAAGAGCUCCGGUCGGAUAUGCCUUUGUUCACGAGGACAACUAUGCAGUGGUACUAAUGCAUGGAUGUCAUUUAGUGCUGGGGGAGUUAAUGGGGCUUUAUUUGAAUAUAUCUCAGCUGCGUGAGUAAGGCUCACAGGCAGAAGUGUCUGUCUGGUGUACGUGUGUUGGAGGACACUGUCUGACAUUGAUGGAAAGCUGCUUGAUAGAGUUUCAUCUUUCAAUUCAUUUAGAUUUUUAAAGCUCAGGUUAAGUUGCCCAACUUAAUUUGCAAUCAUUUAAAGUAGGAGUUAAGUGAAGGUCACAGGCUGCUCUAAAUUAGAGGGAAACCGCUGUAGCACUGGCAUGCUUUGACCUUUUCAGUGUUUUCUGACUCUGCUGACCAGCUGAGCUCUUUAUAGCACUGUUAACCUGUGAGAAAUGUGUGAAGUGGUCAUUUCCCACAGUAAAGCAGGAAAUUUUGAAAGGUUAAAGUAGCAGUGAAUAUUCCUGGCAAGAGCAGGUACGGAAUCCCUUGGAACUGAUGAUCUGUGUGUACGUGUAUCUUCCUGCUCUGCAGUGUUUGUGUUAGAAGGGAAGUGAAGAGGAUGCAAAGCAGGGCUGUAGGCAGCUCACCCGAGCUCUGCCUGCAGGUUAUCCCAGAAAUCAGCAUGGUGCAGAGGGUGCUCUCAAACCCACAGGAAUCCGUGCUGUCUCAGAGCUAUAAAAAAAUACUACUACAAAAACUCCAGAAGUAACAUCAAACUCAGGACGUGGGGCUUUCCUAGAUCCCAUAUGCAGAACUUGGGGAAAAGACAGAUAUCAGUGUUCCCCCAUCCCUGGGGCUGUUCAAGGCCAGGUUGGAUGUGGCCCUGGGCAGCCUCAUCUGGUGAGUGGCAACUAGCCCACAGCACGAGCUUGGUCCUUUCCAAUCUAAGCCAUUCUAUGAUUCUGUGACGUACCUGGAGUUAACAGCAGUGAGCCCAGACAGUGUAGUAGAUGGGAUGCGCUAUCACAGUGCUCGAAGAGUAAAAUCCCUAUGCUCCAUGCCCCAUCUUUUUUAUGCACUUGUUUUCUUCCUUCCUGGUGUUUACGAUCCAGCUGCACGUUCUGCAGCUCUCUCUCUUCUGCCUUUAAUGAGGUAAAGUGGAGAAGUCGUAAAACCAGGCCGCCAUCGGUGUAGCAUCCUGGGGCUGCCAUAACGAGAGGCUUCUGGUCCUCACGAUACAACACCUUGGUGGCAGUGUCUAGUCCCACCUUCUUUGUGCAAAGGGCCAACAUAGGACAGCCCCUCUCCUCCAUUUCCUCCUGAUCGCUGGGGUGCAAGGCAGCUGUCAGAUAUUCAUCUGGAUUUUGUGGAUGUCACAGAUAGCCAGAGUGGGGAAAGAAGGAGGCAGUUUGCUCUGAGAAACAAGAGGGGCUUUACAUCAUUGCAGUACACUCUAAAUAUGCAGUAAGGGUCAAAAGUCUCUUCUGUUGCCCUAGGACUCCUGACUGCUGCAGGCUAAGCCACCAACUCUGAGAUCUGUGUAAGAGGGCAGAAGGGAAUAGCUCAUUGUUAAACAUCCACUUUGUCCAAUGCAUUGGUCAGGGGCUGACAGUUUCCAUUCUGGAGCUCUCAGAAAAUAAAGCGGCUCCUGAGCAUCCCUGCAAGGUGUUGUGGGUCACGCCAGCCACCUCCAUCCCCACACAGCUUAGAAGAGCACAGAAAUGCCAUUUGGCUUUCCAGACCACCUUCCAGCACGGCAGGGAAAGGGCUGGCGUUACACAUGCUGAUAGCGAUAGUACAUGAUAUGCAGUCAGCAGUUUGUUGCAAUCAGAGCUUCUGCUGAGCACGUCGAAAGCCUGCCCCUUUCCUGUUAAUUGAAUGUAAGCCCUUUGGUACUUCUCUCCCUUUGAUCUCUCUCAGAAUGAGACGUAAGGCUAUUAAGGCAGAGGAACCAGCGAGCACAAUGCUGGCAGUAAUCUGUGUCAGGAUGAAGGGAUGUUACGCAAGAGACCAGGAAUGAGAUGCAGUGUGAUUUUUUCUCCCUCCUCCCCCCACGUUUUCUCAUCUAAUCCCAAGGGGUUCUUUGUAAUAUUCGCCGGAUGGCAACUACAAACACUGGUGGACACAAGGAGAAAAAACGUCAUGCAACAAACAUGUAAAAAAGCUGGUUUAGCACUGAAACACUGCAUCUCUCCAGCAAAACCUGCCUGCUAGCAGGAGAUACAAAUGACUCCUGGAAUCAAAUGCAUGUUACUGUGUUCAGCAUGCAGCAUUACUGCAGGAUUUAAACACGGCAAAGAGGGAAUUGCUGAUCACACUGAAACCAAAAUGAGAAUAAAUGCAUAAUAAGAAAAAAUAGAUUAGAAGAUAAUUACUUCAUUUUGUACCUGGAGCAAUUACUGUUUGGAUUAGAGAUGACUUGUAGGUGAAAUAGUUAGUCUGCAAUAGAAGCUGUAGACACAAUGUUAAUAGUUAAAAUGUCAGUGCUAAGCUUCAUUAAAGGAGAAACCCAGCUCUAAACUUGGUUCGGUAUUUUCUUCCAUGAUUGCCACAGUGAGCACUUACGUAACACGCUGCAUAUUUCAAAGCAAGUUAUAAAAUUAGCUAGGAACUGCACGUAAUGCCUCUUUGCAGAGCUGGAGGUGAGCAUGCAGCACCUUCCAGGUGGUGCUCGGAAUACCGUGAUAUCCCCUGCUUCUGAUUUAGGGAUCUAAAAUUACAAAGCCAAAGAAUCUGAUGCUGGGACCUAUAAAAAUGCCUGUUUUUCAUCCGAGAGGACACGCAUAGGAGAGAGAGACACAGAGAGAGGACACAGUUGUUAUUUCAUCGCUGCAGUUCACUGGGAUUUUUUCUGAACACCGUUCCUAUGAACCUGGAUGGAGAAAGGCUGAAGGAGAAGAAAACCCAAAACACUUCAGCCUGCUUUUAUUUUCCGGUUAAAAAUGAAAGAAGUUAUGUAGAGCAGUUGAAGUAAACACCUGAAUCUUAAAAGACUGAAAAGGCAUUUGUAGCCGCUGACCAGAGCCGAAGAUAGAAGGAAUAAAACUGGCAAUUGAUACGUGCUGCAAAUCCUCAUGCCGAGUACAAACCUGACCUGUAUUUCAGCAGCUGCAGGCACCUUUCUGAUAUCUUCCCAGCAGUGCUGGGAGGUGCUCAGCCCAACAGCAAAGCCACGCACGCUGCAAGUCCCCAGCCUCCCUUUAGGGGACAGAGCUUCCCAAUGGCUGCUUUGAUUGUCUGUUUUCAAAAUACAAUCACAUGUGGAUAUUAAAAAUAGCACCACGCUGACUUGCUUCCUGUGAAAACAGGUUCCAGUGCUAGGAAACUAAACAUAAUUUUAAACGUUAUCAUCUGACUAAUCGUGUUGCUAUUCCAUUUCAGUCCAUAUAAUUUCUCUGGUAUGAACCUGGGUCACUUUUGCAUAUGUCCAAUCUAUUUUAUAUAUAUACGUUCACUCUAUUUGCACACUCAGAUGGGAGACAUAUGCCUCUUCUCAUUUGGGCAGGCCAUAGUGUUAUUAAAAUGGAAAUGUGCGGGCUUUGGGAUCCAACUGCAACAUAUGUUUAAAAAUGAAAGAUGAUUCUUUAGUUGUAACUACCAGAAGAACUCGGAGCUUUUGACUCCAUGUAUAAUUACCACGAGACCUUAACAGCUUAAUUCACCAGGUAAUUACAUGGUUAUUUUUUGUUCUAUAAAAGGUAAAGAGGUAACAUUUAAUUUACAAGGUGCUGCAUAAUCCUGUAAUUACUCGGUAAUUUCCGUGUCG
rnacentral:lncRNA from 1 species